rnacentral:rRNA from 1 species
GACGCUGGCGGCAGGCUUAACACAUGCAAGUCGAGCGGUAACAGGGGUAGCUUGCUACCCGCUGACGAGCGGCGGACGGGUGAGUAAUGCUUAGGAAUCUGCCCAAUAGUGGGGGAUAGCCCGGGGAAACCCGGAUUAAUACCGCAUACGUCCUACGGGAGAAAGCAGGGGAUCUUCGGACCUUGCGCUAUUGGAUGAGCCUAAGUCGGAUUAGCUAGUUGGUGGGGUAAAGGCCUACCAAGGCGACGAUCCGUAGCUGGUCUGAGAGGAUGAUCAGCCACAUCGGGACUGAGACACGGCCCGAACUCCUACGGGAGGCAGCAGUGGGGAAUAUUGGACAAUGGGGGCAACCCUGAUCCAGCCAUGCCGCGUGUGUGAAGAAGGCUUUCGGGUUGUAAAGCACUUUCAGUAGGGAGGAAAACCUUAUGGCUAAUACCCAUGAGGCUUGACGUUACCUACAGAAGAAGCACCGGCUAACUCCGUGCCAGCAGCCCGCGGUAAUAC